rnacentral:ncRNA from 1 species
CAGGGGUGCUGAAAAGCUGAGAGAGUCCCUUUGACCUGAUCUAGUUAGUACUAGCGUAGGGAGUCAAU